rnacentral:rRNA from 1 species
UAAGGAAUAUUGGUCAAUGGACGCAAGUCUGAACCAGCCAUGCCGCGUGAAGGAUGACGGCCCUCUGGGUUGUAAACUUCUUUUAUCUGGGACGAAAAAAGGGCUUUCUAGCUCGACUGACGGUACCAGAGGAAUAAGCACCGGCUAACUCCGUGCCAGCAGCCGCGGUAAUACGGAGGGUGCAAGCGUUAUCCGGAUUUACUGGGUUUAAAGGGUGCGUAGGUGGGUCUGUAAGUCAGUGGUGAAAUCUCCGAGCUUAACUCGGAAACUGCCAUUGAUACUAUAGGUCUUGAAUUAUCUGGAGGUAAGCGGAAUAUGUCAUGUAGCGGUGAAAUGCUUAGAUAUGACAUAGAACACCAAUUGCGAAGGCAGCUUACUACGGAUUGAUUGACACUGAGGCACGAAAGCGUGGGGAUCAAACAGGAUUAGAUACCCUGGUAGUCCACGCCCUAAACGAUAGGAUACUCGACAUUUGCGAUAUACAGUAAGUG